rnacentral:rRNA from 1 species
UACGGAGGGAGCGAGCGUUAUCCGGAAUCACUGGGUUUAGAGGGUGCGUAGGCGGCGUGGUAAGUCAGAGGUGAAAGCUUCCCGCUUAACGGGAGAGGGGCCUUUGAUACUGCCAGGCUUGAAUUGGGUUGAGGCAGGCGGAAUGUGGCAUGUAGCGGUGAAAUGCAUAGAUAUGCCAUAGAACACCGAUUGCGAAGGCAGCCUGCCAAGCCUUGAUUGACGCUGAGGCACGAAAGCGUGGGGAGCGAACAGG